GAUGAAGAACGUAGCGAAAUGCGAUACGUAAUGUGAAUUGCAGAAUUCAGUGAAUCAUCGAAUCUUUGAACGCAUAUUGCGCUCUCUGGUAUUCCGGAGAGCAUGCUUGUUUGAGUAUCAGUAAACACCUCAACUUCCAUAUCUUUUUUGAAAUGGGAGUUGGACUUGAGUGAUCCCAACGCUUUUCCUCACCGAAAAGUGGCGGGUUACUUGAAAUGCAGGUGCAGCUGGACUUUUCUCUGAGCUAUAAGCAUAUCUAUUUAGUCUGCCUAAAAAACAGAUUAUUACCUUUGCUGCAGCUAACAUAAAGGAGAUUAGUUCUUGUGCUGACUGAUGCAGGAUUCACAAAGACAGCUUCGGCCGACUUUGUAAACUCGAUCUCUAAUCAAGUAAGACUACCCGCUGAACUUAAGCAUAUCAAUAAGCGGAGGA
rnacentral:misc_RNA from 1 species